UGGACCAUUGAUGAGAUUGGAUGUUGUCUGAAUCAAGAAUUUUGAUUAAACCUUAUCUGCAAUUCCAAGGUCCAU